GCGUGAAGCCCCCCUCAAGAUGAGAUUUCCCACAGCAUAAGCUGGUAAGACCCCUUAUAGAUGAUGAGGUAGAUAGGUUCGAGGUGGAAGUGCAGCAAUGUGCGGAGCUGACGAAUACUAAUCGGUCGAGGGCUUAACCUAA
rnacentral:rRNA from 1 species